rnacentral:rRNA from 1 species
CCUACGGGUGGCAGCAGUGGGGAAUAUUGGGCAAUGGGCGCAAGCCUGACCCAGCAACGCCGCGUGAAGGAAGAAGGCUUUCGGGUUGUAAACUUCUUUUGACAGGGAAGAGUAGAAGCCGUUACCUGUCGAAUAAGCCACGGCUAACUACGUGCCAGCGGCCGCGGUAAUACGUAGGUGGCAGCCGUUGUCCGGAUUUACUGGGUGUAAAGGGCGGGUAGCCGGGUUGGCAAGUCAGAUGGGAAAUCCUGGGGCUUAACCGCAGAACUGCAUUUGAAACUGUUGGGCUGGAGUACAGGAGGGGCAGGCGGAAUUCCUGGGGUAGCGGUGAAAUGCGUAGAUAUUAGGAGGAACACCGGUGGCGAAGGCGGCCUGCUGGACAGCAACUGACGGUGAGGCGCGAAAGCGUGGGGAGCAAACAGGAUUAGAUACCCGGGUAGUC